rnacentral:ncRNA from 1 species
UUAAAUUCAUUGAAUGAGAGAGUAAAAAUAAUAUUAUAUUAAAGCAAGUCGGAACAGCUGAAAGUCCGAUAUGUAAAUUAUUUUGAAACGCACUCAGGAGAAUCUCUAUUGAAAAAAAGUAGAUAGAGACGUUAGACGCGUUAAGUUAUAGAGUGGUCAGUAUUAACUGGCAACUAGAGUGGUAACACGGGUAGUUCCUCGUCUCUUAU